UACGAGGGGGGCAAGCGUUGUUCGGAAUUAUUGGGCGUAAAGGGUGCGUAGGCGGUUUGGUAAGUCUUAUGUGAAAUCUACAGGCUCAACUUGUAGUCUGCAUGAGAAACUGCCGGGCUUGAGUAUGGGAGAGGUGAGUGGAAUUCUUGGUGUAGCGGUGAAAUGCGUAGAUAUCAAGAGGAACACCUGAGGUGAAGACGGGUUGCUGGGCCGACACUGACGCUGACAGCGCGAAAGCCAGGGGAGCAAACGGG
rnacentral:rRNA from 1 species